rnacentral:rRNA from 1 species
UACGUAGGAGACGAGCGUUGUCCGGAAUCACUGGGCGUAAAGCGCGUGUAGGCGGAUGAGCAAGUCUGCUGUGAAAGCUCCUGGCUUAACCGGGAGUGGUCGGUGGAAACUGCUCGUCUGGAGGACGGUAGAGGUAGGUAGAAUUCCUGGUGUAGCGGUGAAAUGCGCAGAUAUCAGGAGGAACACCGAUGGCGAAGGCAGCUCACUGGGACGGUACUGACGCUGAGACGCGAAAGCGUGGGGAGCAAACAGG